GACGAAGGUGGCGAGCGUUGUUCGGAAUCACUGGGCUUAAAGCGCACGUAGGCGGCUCGUCAAGUGUCUUGUGAAAUCCCCCGGCCCAACCGGGGAAUCGCUUGGCAAACUGACGGGCUUGAGGCAGGUAUGGGUACAUGGAACUCUUGGUGGAGCGGUGAAAUGCGUAGAUAUCAAGAGGAACGCCGAUGGUGAAGACAGUGUACUGGGCCUGUCCUGACGCUGAGGUGCGAAAGCCAGGGGAG
rnacentral:rRNA from 1 species